rnacentral:lncRNA from 13 species
GGGCAGGAGGAGGGAGAAGAGAGAGGCUGAGUAAAGGUGGAAGAGAAGAACCCACGGAGGUUGGGGAGAAACACCCACCGCGUGGCAGGAACUAAGAGGCUUUUGAACUUGCUGGCAAUAAGGUGUGGAUGUGGGUUCCUUUCCGGACCCCAAAGUUUUCUCCAGCCAACAUCCCUUGAUGCCCCAGGCAUAGAUUCAACGUCAAUUUGUGAUAAAAAAAAAUAGAGGGAAUGGGUGCUGCCUUCUCCUUGCAACUGGGGUGGAUGCUCUAAGAGGGCUGUGAAGA